rnacentral:rRNA from 1 species
CCUACGGGCGGCAGCAGUGAGGAAUAUUGGUCAAUGGUCGAGAGGCUGAACCAGCCAAGUCGCGUGAGGGAAGACGGCCCUACGGGUUGUAAACUUCUUUUGUCGGGGAGUAAAGCGAGUCACGUGUGACUCAUUGAGGGUACCCGAAGAAAAAGGAUCGGCUAACUCCGUGCCAGCAGUCGCGGUAAUACGGAGGAUGCGAGCGUUAUCCGGAUUUAUUGGGUUUAAAGGGUGCGCAGGCGGAGGUGUAAGUCAGCGGUAAAAUUGCGGGGCUCAACCCCGUACUGCCGUUGAAACUGCAUCCCUUGAGUGCGCGAGAAGUAUGCGGAAUGCGUGGUGUAGCGGUGAAAUGCAUAGAUAUCACGCAGAACUCCGAUUGCGAAGGCAGCAUACCGGCGCGCAACUGACGCUCAUGCACGAAAGCGUGGGUAUCGAACAGGAUUAGAUACCCUUGUAGUC